GCCAAUUAGAAAACACUUUUUCGCCACGUCAGACACACGAUGUCCAAAAGCCAGUCUAGCCCUUUUUUUUUCGUCUUCUCCGUUGUAUUCGCCAUUUGAUGACCUUUUCCAUUUCUUAUUCUAAGCAGACGAGCCUCACCGUAGAUCCGUUGACACCAUCUCACUCCCUGACAAUCAGAUGAGCCUCUGCCGCCCCAAUGACUGACCAGUCGCCACCGUCAGUCUCCCAGUCAUCCUCAAUCCGGGAGAGCACUCCGUUGGAGAACGAGCCACCAGAGCUUUCGAGCCCUCCUAUUAACCUCCGCACCAGAGAUCCUUCAGAUCCGCCAAGAUGGAAAGAGAGAAAGCUUCAACGACAUCACCAAACGACCACUACUCCGUCACGUUGUUCAUAAUCCGAAGGGGAGGAGGCGACGAAGCUUUCCGGCGUGAGCCAUAGAUCUUGCCACCUCCAAAACCCUAGACAGCACCGCACAAGAGGAGAGAGCUAGAGAGCAUGAGUUUACUUGCCACUCAAAGGCGUUUUUUUAACUUCUCCCAUUAUUGAUAUCAUGAAUCCUCUUCGACUCCUCUUUGUAUCUUUAUAUAAUCCAGAUGCAAGCCAUGGAAACCCUAACAAGCUAUGCCAGAAAUUAAGAUCUACUGAAUGAGCACAACAAAAACUCAGAUUCAAUAGAUCUCAGCAGAGCAGGAGUAUUUCGAGCAAACUCCACUCGACCAGUCUUUGGAAAUCAUUUCUCAGAAGAUGCACAUGCCGUGUGUUGCUGCUGAUUUUUGAGUUUGUAAUCAACCAAACACUAUGCUUUUCAUAUGUUCAUCUCUGCACUUCUUCAGGUCCCUUCUUUUUUUUUUUAUUCUAGCAACUUAACUUCUACUGCAUCCUCUAAUAGUUUCAUUAUCCAUUCAAAAUAUUUUUUUAUCUCAGCUAUGUGAUAGCUGAGACAUGUUAUUUAGACAAUUAGCCAGAUUUGUAUUGGAAGAUGAAGAUGCAGCCAAAAGGGUCUGACGGACUCCUUUUACCCUACAUGGAAACCAGAACUACAUAGAGAUCCCUAGAGGCAUUGCAGUGGUUGGGACAAUGUAUGGGUUGGUUAUGAUUGGAAAUACAAUUCAAGUUGUGCAGAGCCCUCCAAUGCAGUCUGGGAUUUUCAAAUCCAGUCUCUUUUUUUUAUCUUUCAUCACUCUCUCUCUUCACAGCUUGCUCAAUAAAAGGGAAAAUGAAGUUGUCAGUGUUGUAAAUACAAUUCUGGUGGUAUAUUCAAGGUGUAAGUGGUCACUGGUCAAGAAUAUGUGUGCUCUCAAAAGAAACAGAGGAAGCUGAAGAGUAGCCCAUAUUCUGCUCCAAACACAGACCUGGCUCUCUCCUGAUCCUUCGAGCUGAGGUUCAAUGUGGAAGGACGAGAAACCAACCAUGGUCUCAUGAGAAUUUUCAAUGAUCCUUCCAAGGAUAUAACGUUCUAUGUGGAGUUGAAAUACUUUCAUUUGUUUAAAGCUGCCAAAGAAGGAGGAUGGUUGGGACUACAAUACUGUUUAUAUAUGGUUUGAUUUCUUUCUACACCAUAAUACUCCUGCGUUACUGUCUCGACAGUGAGUUUGACCUCAAGACCUAUCCCGACAGUGCCCAAGCUGCGUUUCUACCACGUGACGUAUCUUUGUCUCGAUAAUUCUCUACUUGGAGCAGUACACAAGUACCUUCUCCAUUCAUCCAAUAAAUGACUUCAGUUUAUACUUUCUCAACUCUGUCUGUCAAGAAAAAGUGCAUAAUUACAGGAUUCCAAGUGGGGUUAAAACACACAACAGAAGAGAUCUUGAAGUAUGUAGAAUCCAUAGCCCCAUCUCCCAUGUCGUGAAACAAGUGAGCAUCGGGCCCCAUAGAUGAGAGCAUUUAAACAAAUCCAGUUUUCCAUUUUCGAUUCUUCUUGCAUGAUCUCCAUUUUAAUUGUGUGCAUGUUAGUCGUGUGUUUGAUCAUAUCCUUUUGUUUCGCGUACGAUAUUAUUAGGCUUUCAGUCAUUGUUUAUUGAUUAUUAAAAUAUCAGUCCAGCUUCUCGA